rnacentral:sRNA from 1 species
UGAGCGAGAGCAAAGCGUGAGCGGCCGGGACGGCCCGAAGGGCGCCGUUAUCGUCGUCGCAGCAACAUCGACAGGCUUCUCCUCACUUUCUGGUUAACGAGACGGAUGGAUCACGCGCGAGUUUAAACCCUCGGCGGCCCCGCAGCGGCGGGAUUCGACCAUGGUACGGGGCCUGGGACCGGACCGAACCGUUUU